UACGUAGGGUGCGAGCGUUAAUCGGAAUUACUGGGCGUAAAGCGUGCGCAGGCGGUUCGUUGUGUCCGAUGUGAAAGCCCCGGGCUUAACCUGGGAAUUGCCUUGGAAACUGGCGAGCUGGAGUGUGGCAGAGGGGGGUGGAAUUCCGCGUGUAGCAGUGAAAUGCGUAGAGAUGCGGAGGAACACCGAUGGCGAAGGCAGCCCACUGGGCCAACACUGACGCUCAGGCACGAAAGCGUGGGGAGCAAACAGG
rnacentral:rRNA from 1 species